CUUGAGGAUGGGUUCGACUCCCUUCUCUCUAG
rnacentral:tRNA from 1 species